UUUCCUUUUCUUUUCUUUUUCCUUUUCCUUUUCUUUUUCUUUUUCUUUUUCUUUUUUUCUUUUCUUUUCUUUUCUUUUUUUUCCCAUGGCCUUCUUUGGCUGGAACAGGGGACCUAAAGGUCCCCGUUCCUUAUAUCGGCCGUUCACGGCCACACCUUGCCCAGCGAUGGCUGGCGGCAAGGGCGGCCUUUCCCCGAGUUC
rnacentral:lncRNA from 1 species